AAAUGCGAUAAGUAAUGUGAAUUGCAGAAUUCAGUGAAUCAUCGAAUCUUUGAACGCACCUUGCGCUCCUUGGUAUUCCUUGGAGCAUGCCUGUUUGAGUCUCAUGAAAUCUUCAAAGUAAAUCUUUUGUUAACUCAAUUGGUUUCUACUUUGGUAUUGGAGGUCUUUGCAGCUUCACACCUGCUCCUCUUUGUUCAUUAGCUGGAUCUCAGUGUUAUGCUUGGUUCCACUCGGCGUGAUAAGUUAUCUAUCGCUGAGGACACUGUAAAAGGUGGCCAAGGUAAAUGCAGAUGAACCGCUUCUAAUAGUCCAUUGACUUGGACAAUACUUUUAUGAUCUGAUCUCAAAUCAGGUAGGACUACCCGCUGAACUUAAGC
rnacentral:misc_RNA from 1 species